rnacentral:rRNA from 1 species
GUCUACGGCCAUGCCAUUUUUGAACGCGCCUGAUCCCGUCUGAUCUUGGAAGCUAAGCAGGGUCGGGCCUGGUUAGUACUUGGAUGGGAGACCACCUAGAAAGACCAGGUGCUAUAGGCG